AUUGAACGCUGGCGGCAGGCUUAACACAUGCAAGUCGAGCGGAGAUGAGGUGCUUGCACCUUAUCUUAGCGGCGGACGGGUGAGUAAUGCUUAGGAAUCUGCCUAUUAGUGGGGGACAACAUUCCGAAAGGAAUGCUAAUACCGCAUACGCCCUACGGGGGAAAGCAGGGGAUCUUCGGACCUUGCGCUAAUAGAUGAGCCUAAGUCGGAUUAGCUAGUUGGUGGGGUAAAGGCCUACCAAGGCGACGAUCUGUAGGGGGUCGGAGAGGAUGCUCCGCCACACUGGGACUGAGACACGGCCCAGACUCCUACGGGAGGCAGCAGUGGGGAAUAUUUGACAAUGGGCGGAAGCCUGAUCCAGCCAUGCCGCGUGUGUGAAGAAGGCCUUUUGGUUGUAAAGCACUUUAAGCGAGGAGGAGGCUACCUGGAUUAAUACUCUAGGAUAGUGGACGUUACUCGCAGAAUAAGCACCGGCUAACUCUGUGCCAGCCGCCGCGGUAAAAC
rnacentral:rRNA from 1 species